UACGAAGGGGGCUAGCGUUGCUCGGAAUCACUGGGCGUAAAGCGCACGUAGGCGGCUUUCUAAGUCAGGGGUGAAAUCCUGGAGCUCAACUCCAGAACUGCCUUUGAUACUGGGAAGCUCGAGUCCGGAAGAGGUGAGUGGAACUCCGAGUGUAGAGGUGAAAUUCGUAGAUAUUCGGAAGAACACCAGUGGCGAAGGCGGCUCACUGGUCCGGUACUGACGCUGAGGAGCGAAAGCGUGGGGAGCGAACAGG
rnacentral:rRNA from 1 species